rnacentral:rRNA from 1 species
CAAACUGAAGAUGGCGACCGGCGCACGGGUGAGUAACACGUAUCCAACCUGCCGAUAACUCCGGAAUAGCCUUUCGAAAGAAAGAUAAAUACCGGAUGGCAUACGAAUAUCGCAUGAUAUUUUUAUUUAAAGAAUUUCGGUUAUCGAUGGGGAUGCGUUCCAUUAGUUUGUUGGCGGGGUAACGGCCCACCAAGACUACGAUGGAUAGGGGUUCUGAGAGGAAGGUCCCCCACAUUGGAACUGAGACACGGCCCAAACUCCUACGGGAGGCAGCAUG